UUAUAAAUUUUUCCAUUUCCAGCUUGUCCUCUGUUGGUAGUGAUGAAUCUAGGAAAAGCAAAGGCAGGUUUCCAUCUCCUAUGUCAUCUCAAGAUAGUAUGAUUUCUAAAUAUACUGCUUUUGUGACACCUGCAGCAAGUCCAACAGUUUCUCAUUCAGAUGCAUAUGGGCAUUUUCAAACUGAUCAACAUAAAAAAGAAGCCAGAAAAGUUGUUGUGCAUCCCUACAGCCUCCUUUGAGUGUCAUUAUGAAAAUAAUCUUGCAUUUGUAAUAUAACAUGGCGUUUUUCAUCAUUCAUUAUUUUCCUCAGUUGAAAGAAGAAAAGUAAUUGAUGUCAAAUUGAGAGCUUUUUAAGAGUCAUCAAUCCUGGAAAUGAGGACUUCUAAGUUUUACGAUAUAACUGCCAAUAAUAACUCACACAAGUAUCCUAAGUAACAUAUAAAUUGAAAUGUAACAUUAUUAAAGAUUUUUAUUCAGUUUUA